rnacentral:rRNA from 1 species
CCACACCUAAAAAUCUUUCCACGUGAAUUGUUUGGACAACGUUGGGCUUCGUUGGCGGCUUCCCUUGUGGUUGUCGUCGGCUUGAGGCUAUCAGAUGGCUUUGUUGCUUGGUUGGUUGAUUGGUUGAUUGGUUGCUCCGUCAAUCGGUCGUUCUCGAACGAGUGCUAAAGCGGUCUUUUUGUAAACCCAUUGUGAUAUUGAAACUGAUUGUACUGUGGGGACGAAAGUCUCUGCUUUGAACUAGAUAGCAACUUUCAGCAGUGGAUGUCUAGGCUCGCACAUCGAUGAAGAACGCUGCGAACUGCGAUACGUAAUGCGAAUUGCAGGAUUCAGUGAGUCAUCGAAAUUUUGAACGCAUAUUGCACUUUCGGGUUUUGCCUGGAAGUAUGUCUGUAUCAGUGUCCGUAGACUAAACUUGCCUUUCUUGCGUCGUGUAGUCGUCGGUUGGAAAGAGCAGAUGUGAGGUGUCUUGCGCGGUCUGCAUGGCUUGGCUCCGGUCGGGUCUGUUUGUUUUGCGCAAGUCCCUUUAAAGUCGGACGUGUUUCUCUGUGUGGUGCGCGGUGACGGAUCUGUGGACGUGCGUGCGUGCGGGACGACAAUGUUGUGCGCGGACGAGUCUGGCGGUCUUUGGUGCUUGCACUGUUGGGAUUCCUCGAUUGGCGGUAUGUUUGGCCUCGGCUUUGACAAUGCAGCUUAUUGGGUGUUUCUCUGCGCGGCUUGUGCUGUAUGAAGACGAACCGGAUGGUCUGUGUGUGUGCGUUGUGUGUGUCUGUGCGUUCGUUCGUUUGCGAAGAGCCGUUUGUAUGCGUGUGUCAUGCAUGGAGCGUGGUAUAUUUGGGAAGUUGUGCUGGUGUCGGCUUUCGGGUCGGUGUGAGCAUCUCAA